UACGGGGGGAGCAAGCGUUGUUCGGAUUUACUGGGCGUAAAGGGUGCGUAGGUGGCGCUGUAAGUCGGGUGUGAAAUUUCGGAGCUUAACUCCGAAACUGCAUUCGAUACUGCGGUGCUUGAGGACUGGAGAGGAGACUGGAAUUCAUGGUGUAGCAGUGAAAUGCGUAGAGAUCAUGAGGAAGACCAGUGGCGAAGGCGGGUCUCUGGACAGUUCCUGACACUGAGGCACGAAGGCCAGGGGAGCAAAACGGG
rnacentral:rRNA from 1 species